UAUUUACGAAUCUCUGUCUUUCAGGUAUAAAUAACUAAUAUUAUAAUACUUGAUAACUAACAGUGGUAAAUCUUUAGUGGCUUCUUUAAAAUAAUGAUAUUACUGGGUUUAUUAUACUCUUGAUUGUUUUUAUUUAGCCAAAAUCGUUUUUCAGGCGGCAUAACCUCAAACCUACACUCACAUAAUUUACAUCAAUUUGGUAAAUAUUCAUCUCAAAAGUGUAUCUCGAUCAAUUAACUAAACUUUAGAAACCAAAAUCUAUCAGAAAACUAAAAAAUAAAAAAUAAUCGAAAUUCAAUUAUAACUCGAUUCCAAUUUCCCGAGUGAUCGUCCCGUUAACUGCGCGGUCAGAGAUUCGCGUCAAUAUAGUCUGUAACUACACUCCGUAUGUACGCUUCCAUAUUUCAAACAUUGACAUUUGGGAGCAACUUCAUGCCUCACAAACAACCAUCUUCAAGGCAAUGUAACAAGUUAAACUUUAAUAUUUUUAUUGCAAUGCAUUGUAAAACAAUCAGUGCGCGGAAUAAAUGUGAUAUUGUGAUCAUCCUGUAUUUUUCGGUGAUAGUGGCGAACAUUCGGAGAUAAAACCUGCAGGUAUUUCGUUGAGUAAAUUGUUUUGUAGUGGGGUACACUAAAGUGCAUUUUAAAAAUCAAUAAGCUGUGGGACAUCUAAAAAUAGAUGCUGGCUGGCCGGCCGGGCAGCAUUCGGGCUCUCAGUGUUGUUGAUGUGUUGUUCGCGGGCUGUUCCUCCGUCGGACCCGCCGAGCGGACAACAAACAGUGACGCGGAGUGCAGUGCUUUGUGAACUAUUCGUCAAGUGCGCACAAUGCUUCCAUGCAACAAGUAAAGGACUCAGAUUGAACGGGAUUCAUUGUAUUAAAUUGUUUGAAUAAGCAAGAUCUCAAGAAUGGAUCGAGGAGCUGUCUCAAAUAGGUUUACACGUCUUGUGACCUACGCCCGAAACGCCUGGAGGUCCCUCCGUCGCGAUCCUGAGAAGAAGCCAGUGGUAACAAACAAUAACUCAUGCAUACGACACAUUAUAUUCAUGUAUGCUGAGUACAAGAGAGCCAAGAGGAGAAAUAAGCGUCGUUAAAUAUGUGUCACCAUCCAGCAUUCAAGUUUCAUCAUCAUUCAUCUGCUCUACAUCGCCAUCGACGACCUGGCUUGUUUCAC